GUAAAUAAAUAUAUAUAUAUAGUUUUUUUUAAAGCUGACUCUUCUUUUAACAGUUUUUUCCCCCAAGAUGAAGCAUAAAAUAACCACUGAGCCUACAGAGAAAUGGUAUUCUUUGUGAUAUCUAAUAUCAGUCUUUCAUACUUCAAGUAUGGACUUUCCUAAGCAGAAAUUCCAGUGCUAAUGGUUGAGGAUUUCCCCUGGCACUCCCCCUUCUGACUCUGACUUAAGGUAGUGAGUCUAGCAGGGCACAUUAGGGACAGUCCCUGUGCAAAGUGGGGAAUUCAAGGCUGGGGGCUGCAUGGUACUGUUGUGAAUGGACAACAACAUGUGCUCAAGUUCUUUCUGAAGAGGGUGAUAAAAAGUGGCAUUUCCUCCUAAACUGGUAUGUGUGUUGCUGUAACGCCUUGAAGCAAUAGAUAAGGGAAGGAGAGGGGAGGGAGUUAAGCAGUGAGCAGAUGGAUGAACGAUUAGAUCAUUUGGAUUAGGAAUGGGGUUUUUUUACACUGAACUCUCUCUUUUCUCAUUCCUUUCUGAUCAGAUUCUCUAUAUACAGAGAGAGUUGAAGCUGCUUAAAAUAGAGAAAAGAAACGUCGUAGCUGGAUUUAGUUGCAAACUAUGAGUACUGAACAAGACAAAGGAAUGAAAUGCUGAUAGCUCCUUACUUUGGAGAGUGACUGAAAGAAAACAGAUCAUUCAUACAGUAUACAACAAAGGCAUUUUAUAAUCUGAUUUGUCUACCUGUGAUGAAGAAUUUUAGUUAAUGGAAGCUGCAGCAGUCUGUCACCAGGAAAUAUACUGCUUUAUUCAGAAUGGGUCCCAGGAGGUGUUGCGGAAGGGCAAAGGAGGCUGGACAUCUCCUCUACACUCUCACAACUCCUGCAGUUCCUAGGGCUAGGCAACUUUUCCAACUCGCCUCCAUGUGCAAUGACUUCCAAGGGGUAGCUGUGGCAGCUGGGGACUGCUGGAGCACACUGCACUCUGACCAUGCCUUCCUCCCCUUACAAAUCUACUGCGGUAUGGUACGGAGCCAGCAAUGCCAGUUCUACACCCCCUGGAAUUCUCCUACACCAGAGCUUGAAGGCUCUUUUGUGCUGCUAGAAAAACCUAAAGCAGCCUUAUCAGGGCUGAGCAGCCACCCCCUUGUCUUCGUCCUCACCUGCAAAGCAUCUAGCCUGCUAUGA
rnacentral:lncRNA from 1 species